rnacentral:tRNA from 1 species
GCAGUCGUGGCCGAGUGGUUAAGGCGAUGGACUAUAGUUCGUUUCACUUUAUGGGCGAGCGAAGCCAACGCUCCAAGCGCGAGCAUGCUGCUUGUAACAGCGCCUGUGGUGCACGUACGCACGUGCGAAGCCGGCACGCUCGGAGCCUUGGGCUCGCGCUUCUAGCUCUGACUUCGCUCGCACAUGACGUGAAACGAAGUAUAGAAAUCUAUUGGGGUCUCCCCGCACAGGUUCGCAUCCUGUUGACUGCG